GUUCUGUUAACACAUGCUUCCAGGUUCACGACUAGCUAACCGACAGCAGGUGGGUUACAGUGGUAGAGGGACGGAGAGAGAGAGAGAGAGAGAGAGAGAGACGGAGUUGCACACGCUUCUUUUUCAAACGAUGCAGCUACCAAAGUGGAUGCUUAAUCGGUCGGGGAAGCUGUGUUGAUUUAGCUAAGUCAAGAUUUAGCCAAAGUGGAUGCUUAAUCGGUCGGGGAAGCUGUGUUGUGUCACAGUGGAGGAUGGAGAUCUUCAUCCAGGAUUUCUGUGGAAACAGUGACAAGAUACUGACUCCAGACCAGACAGUUGACCCACAGGAGCACCUGGAGAAAUGCUGUCGCCUGUGCUUUUAGAGGCCCAAAAAGUAAGUCAUCGCCUGAGUACUACUAGUGACACAAAGGAGUGAUAAACAAUGUAGACAAUGUAGAGACACAUUAACAAAAUUCCUUCCCCCAACCGAUCGAAGUAGAUUUGUUGGGUGUAGUUGUGUAAGUUCUUAAACCUUACCUUGAAAUAAUAAUUGAAGCAAUAAUAAGUUCACUAUUUGCCUUAAAUUUCAGUAGACAUCACAACAACUUGUCUCUUACAAAUAGACAGGUUUCCUGAGACAGAAUGUGAUAAGUGGUCGCAAUUCUAAUCCAGUCCUAAUAAAAGCAGAGACAUUUAAUAACAACCGCUACAAGAUUAACAGUCACAUGCUUUAUUUGCUGGUCCUAUUAAUGAGGCACAGUCAGUGUGAGAACCAGUAGCAUUAGUAUCAACUCCAGUGAACGAUAGUAGGUGCUGUAUUAUUCUGUAACAUUCUCAGCAGUAAUGAUUUCAUGAACUUUAUGAUUUAUUACACAAUAUUUCCCUUCUCUGGUCCUAAAAGGACCAUCCAUCAAUAGCAUACAUGCACUUCAACUUUAGGUUCAUUUUUUAAAGAGUUUUUCCUUAAGUACCACUUUCUAAGUACCACUACGACAUCACACAGGUAGUGUGCACUUCCAGUAUCUACUAGUUGUAUGAAUUUAAUAAUCUGUUAGUUCAGCCUUAUUGUACAGAAACCUUUCACUCAUUUUCAAUACAUCACAUAUUGUCUUGUGUCCGUGUCAGUAGUAGUCCUUCUCAGUAUGCAGGUUAUAGAUUUACUGUGUCCAUAGUCCCCCUCAAGUCCAUUGUACAGUUCUUUUCUCCUCUUCGUAGCAUCCUGUUAUCUUCUGGGGUCUCUGUCACACUGAUAAUAUAGGUGGUUGUGUGGUUAUAUAUGUUCCAAUAUAAUGUAAGUAAGAGAAGAAGAAAAAGCUGUUGGGUUGGAUAAUGGCUCCUCAUUAUCAUUAUUUUCUGGUUGGUUCCCUGCUGGGUCUGGAGGCGAAUGAACCUGCUGCCAUCGUUUGUUGCUCCCCUCUGAAUGCCGGGACUCCCCGGGUGUUGGUGGUGGGGUCGGUGAUGGGGAUGGUGGUGCUAUGGUUGAACCUGGACGAUGGCCACUCCAUGGUGCCGUCAAAUGCGGAAGUUAUGCU